CGCGGCCUAUCAGCUUGUUGGUGAGGUAACGGCUCACCAAGGCGACGACGGGUAGCUGGUCUGAGAGGACGACCAGCCACACUGGGACUGAGAUACGGCCCAGACUCCUACGGGAGGCAGCAGUGGGGAAUCUUGCGCAAUGGGCGAAAGCCUGACGCAGCGACGCCGCGUGGGGGAUGAAGGCCCUCGGGUUGUAAACCCCUUUCGGCAGGGACGAAGCGGUUCCGUGACGGUACCUGCAGAAGAAGCCUCGGCUAACUACGUGCCAGCAGCCGCGGUAAGACGUAGGAGGCGAGCGUUGUCCGGAUUCAUUGGGCGUAAAGAGCACGCAGGCGGUUCGGCAAGUCGGUUGUGAAAUCCCAGGGCUCAACCCUGGGACUGCGUCCGAAACUGCCGGACUAGAGGUAGGUAGGGGAGAUCGGAAUUCCUGGUGUAGCGGUGAAAUGCGCAGAUAUCAGGAGGAACACCGGUGGCGAAGGCGGAUCUCUGGGCCUUACCUGACGCUCAGGUGCGAAAGCUAGGGGAGCGAACAGGAUUAGAUACCCUGGUAGUCCUAGCCGUAAACGUUGGGUGCUAGGUGUGGGCGGACAUCAACCCCGUCCGUGCCGAAGCUAACGCAUUAAGCACCCCGCCUGGGGAGUACGG
rnacentral:rRNA from 1 species